CGCUAUCAGAUGAGCCUAGGUCGGAUUAGCUUGUUGGUGAGGUAAUGGCUCACCAAGGCGACGAUCCGUAACUGGUCUGAGAGGAUGAUCAGUCACACUGGAACUGAGACACGGUCCAGACUCCUACGGGAGGCAGCAGUGGGGAAUAUUGGACAAUGGGCGAAAGCCUGAUCCAGCCAUGCCGCGUGUGUGAAGAAGGUCUUCGGAUUGUAAAGCACUUUAAGUUGGGAGGAAGGGUUGUAGAUUAAUACUCUGCAAUUUUGACGUUACCGACAGAAUAAGCACCGGCUAACUCUGUGCCAGCAGCCGCGGUAAUACAGAGGGUGCAAGCGUUAAUCGGAAUUACUGGGCGUAAAGCGCGCGUAGGUGGUUUGUUAAGUUGGAUGUGAAAGCCCCGGGCUCAACCUGGGAACUGCAUCCAAAACUGGCAAGCUAGAGUACGGUAGAGGGUGGUGGAAUUUCCUGUGUAGCGGUGAAAUGCGUAGAUAUAGGAAGGAACACCAGUGGCGAAGGCGACCACCUGGACUGAUACUGACACUGAGGUGCGAAAGCGUGGGGAGCAAACAGGAUUAGAUACCCUGGUAGUCCACGCCGUAAACGAUGUCAACUAGCCGUUGGAAUCCUUGAGAUUUUAGUGGC
rnacentral:rRNA from 1 species